rnacentral:misc_RNA from 1 species
GGGUGGGAAGUAUUCAUAAGCACAUCCAACAUACAGGUGCACGCCGCCACCCAUGAGCGCCUCGCUCCACGUCCUCUUAAUCGGUACGGACGCCUUUCACGUGGAGGGCGCGCUGCAGGGCACGGCGCUGCACAUGCACCGCGCCUGGAACGCGUCGUACCGGUUUUCCUGCACCUCGGCGCUGAGCGUGGACCAAGCGGACAAGCGGCUUCUGCUGGUGUGCCACAUUAUCGUGCUGUGCAGGGGAUGCCGAUCGCCGGCGAGCAAGUCGAGUUACAGUGAUCGAGCGGUUCUGGCGCUGCCGGAUGCGACGGCCAGCUGUGUGGAGGAGUUGAGGGACAGUUCUUUCUUCUAUGGCACGUGCACCCUGGAGGAGCUCAAGGCGAAGGUGCUGACGAUCGGCCUCGCCCCGCCGCAUGUCAUCUUCGAUGCCGUGCAUGGUUGCUUCACGCCGGUUGGCAAGGCCGCGUUCGAGCGUGCUUUUUGGCUCUUCGACCGCGACGCGGACGGACUGCUGCGGCUGCCGGAGCUUGUUGGGUGGCGCAAGCAGGUGGAGCCAGCCGCCUACAGCGCGGAGGAGGACGUAGGUCUCUUCUUGUCCGAGUGGGGCGGCGCCGUCGCGGCGGAGAAGCUGGCGGAUCAGGCUCAGUUUCUGGCCCUCCACAUGGAGUGGCUGCAGAAGGGCUACACGCUCGAGGCGUGGGCCACGCUGCACGCCACUGGCAUCCACCCCGACGGGCUGCCUUACUCGUGGUACGACCUGCACUCUAUCCGUGUGGAUCGGGGAACAAACACGUACCUGUCCUCCCACGCAAUCCAGUUCUUCACCAAUGUUUAUAAGCUGAAGCGGUUUGCCGACACGGCGGACAUAUGGUGCAUCACGCCGGGUUGUCCGUGGGACUCUGUGGAGGGGUUCCUAAAGGCGCAUAUGCCAAUGACCAAGUUCGUGGAGUACUGGAAGUACAUGGCACUGGUGCGGCGCGACGAGGUGAUUCGCUACGCACGGUACUGGGGAUACAAGGGUGAGAUUAGCUACCUCUUCACGCGCCGUGCUGCCCGUGCAUACCGGCUCCCUGGCGAAACCGUACCGAACACGAUUCACGUACUUGUGGCCGGGUCGGAAAACUGCGGUCGGCGGAGUCUCAUGAAUGCCUUGACAAACAGCGGCUCGGAGGGCUUUCAAAACUCGGAGCAUACAACGGGCACGUAUGUACGCACCACCACCUUCUUUGCCACGAAAGGCCGCGAGCAGGUGGAGGAAGCGCAGACGCUAGUGUACUCGACGGCGUCGGCCGAGGCAUGCGCGCAGCUGCUGUCCGACUUGGAGUUGUCCAAGACCAUAGAUGUUGUUCUACUGUGCUACGACGGCACCGACAUUGAUGACAGCGGGGCGUACGCGAUGUCGCUAUUUGAGCAGGUCAGCGCCAGCGACGCAUGCGAGCGGCUGCCGUUCGUCGUGGUCAUGACGAAGGCGGAUGCUGCGCAGCCCGUGGCCGGCGACAAAGAGACAAAGGCGGGGCAGCGUCUAAAAGAUUUCUGUCUUGCCCAUCAGUUGCUGUGGCCGCCGGUCAUUACCAGCAGCGAGCAGCCAGAUCAGAGCGAGGCCGCGUCACUGAACGAGUACAUGUACGCCGUAGCCUCGGACCCGGCGCUGGCGGUCGGCCAGCCUCCCCUCACGUACGUGCGCAUUCUUCGCCGAGCGACGUUUGUCGCCAUCAUCGCCGUCGCGGCUGCUCGGAUUGGACAGACCCUCGUGAACGUGCUGCGGCGACAGCGGCGUUAGCCUUCUUCGAGUGUAGGAGGAUAGACGGAAACAGUGCCGCGCCGCGCCGACCCCCCCCCCCCCCCUCCCCCCGAUAGGCGAAAGUGCACACGUGAGUGGUGUGUCUCCGAAUGCUGCGUGGCGAACAUUUAUGUUGGAUCAAAAAAACAAUCGACGCUGGUGCUGUUUUUUUUUUUUGGUGCGAUAGCGUCGCUUGCAGCUGCCACGUUAAGUGCCAUCGCGCUUCUCUUGUUCGCCGUCCUCUUCUCAUCUCUGUGUGGAUUAUUAGACGCGUGGCCUUGCUUGAACGCGAUGACGCAC